rnacentral:rRNA from 1 species
UGGUGGAGUGAUUUGUCUGGUUAAUUCCGUUAACGAACGAGACCUCGACCUGCUAAAUAGUUCGACGAAUUCUUCGGGAUUCGUACUGACUUCUUAGAGGGACUAUCGGUGCUUAGCCGAUGGAAGUUCGAGGCAAUAACA